GCUCCUACGGGAGGCAGCAGUGAGGAAUAUUGGUCAAUGGUCGGGAGACUGAACCAGCCAAGCCGCGUGAGGGAAGACUGCCCUAUGGGUUGUAAACCUCUUUUGUCAGGGAGCAACGCCGGCUACGUGUAGCCGGACUGAGAGUACCUGAAGAAAAAGCAUCGGCUAACUCCGUGCCAGCAGCCGCGGUGAUACGGAGGAUGCGAGCGUUAUCCGGAUUUAUUGGGUUUAAAGGGUGCGUAGGCGGAAUGCCAAGUCAGCGGUAAAAUCGCGGGGCUCAACCUCGCUCCGCCGUUGAAGCUGGC
rnacentral:rRNA from 1 species